UGACGAAUUUGUUAGUGUGGCUAUACCAUCCCAUAUAAUGCUAUCGGGGGAAGAGACUGGUUUAAACAAAAUGAAGGGGUGCCCCACACGUCAUCAAGCCGUAAAGUUCCUCACUCCCUCGAGGCGAGGAGAACCAUUUAUGGAGGACCAAUUGGCCGCAAACAAUGCUACCUGGCCAUAGGGUCGACCAAGAUGGCGAUGAGGGAAGUUCAAAUGAAUCGAGGAGAGCAUGGAAGUAUUUGAGGAUGUGGUUCGAGAUCCCGAGGCUAAGGUCAUCGAGAUUGGUUGCGUAUGAAUUGGACGAGACGGGCUCAGACCGAUUCUUUCUCAUCCGGAUUCAGGCCUAAUGAAUGUGAGAAGGUCCCGGGCUCAUCCAAUUCCGGAAAGCCGACACGAAGCUUUGCAUGGCCCCCUUUAUGAAAAGCCGGGAAUCGACCCAAAUUUUACAGGCACGAGUUGAACGUUCAACCAACCGGAAUUCCGACCGGUCAAACAAGGGAAGGAGGUGGAUCCCGAGCACGUGGAAAGCCCGUGAUUGAAGAAGUGGCAAGCCAGGGGGCGGACGCAUAUCGAAGUCCUUACCCCAAUUGGCUUGUCGAAUACCGUGGUGUAAAAAAAAAGAAAACGGGAAAAUGGCGGGUCUGCGGCGAUUUCACCAACCUCAACCGGGCUGUCCCAAGACUGUUUUCCUCCAACCCGAGAUCGAUCAGUUGGUUGACAGCACCUCGGGGCAUGCCCGAAGUGAGUUUCCUCCUUGACGCGUACAGAUGAUUCAUCAAAUCGCUCUCCUUAACAAACAAACGGACUGGAUCAGGAGAAGACUGCGUUCAUGACCCCCAUGGAUGUGUUGUUAUAAAGUCAAGUUGCCUUUUGCUCAGACGCAGGGGCCACAUACCAGAGGAUGGGUAAACGAUAUGUUCAUCACGGUCUGGGUAAGACCAUGGGAUGGCCUACUCAUGACAUGGUAGUGGAAAAGCAAAGAAGACUCAGACCCCUCAGGGAUUUGCCGAAUAUCGCAAUCCUCCGACACAACAAUAAUCUCAAACUCAAUGCAACGAAAUGUGCCGUUUUGUUGCUCGGGAAAUUUCUUGGGCAUCUAUCACGAGACGAGGAAUGAAGCAGACCCAGAACAGAUUUCUGCCAUAAGACCAGAUAGCCAGCCCAAGGAAUGCCAAAGAGGUGCAAGAAACUCACCGGGAUGGCACAUACACCAACCGUUUUAUCAGUAAGUCCUUCAGACAAAGAAUGCCAAAUGCCGCCCAUUUUUUAAGCUUUUGCGCAAAAUGCUAAGUUCUCGUGGAUGAGGAGUCCGAGGUGCGCGCCAAAAUUCCACAAAUAGCUGACAAAGCCUUCCACUCCUAUCCCCCCGACGAAGGAGAGUUUCUCCAUGUUUUACCUUGCUGUUUCCGCACACGGGCGGUGAGCUCGGUUUUGUUAGAGAACGGGUCCACGGCACGGCCCAAUUUCGAUUUUAUUGUGUGACAGACACAAUGAUUGUCAGACACUAACGAUAUUUUACCACGGAAAAGCCUUGUUCUGGCCCUAGUGGUGACCUCACGAAAGCUCAUGCCCUACUUUCAAGCACACCCCCAUCUCGGUGUACACCGAGGUUCCCGCUUAAGGCAUAUUGAUGCAAGCUGGCCUGACGGGAAAGGGCUCUCUAAAUGGUCCCUAGAACUUGGGCAGUUUGACAUAAGCUUUCCUACCAAGGGCGGCAAUAAGGGCAAGUAUUGGUGGACUUUCGUGGGCAGAGUUUUCCCCCCAUGCCGGAAAUCUCAUGACAUAUACAUUCCAAACCAGCCCCUGGUGAAGGGGAACUCACAAAACGGCAACCGUCCCCGAACUUAAGCACCAAGUAAUAUGAGGUCAAUCCAGAACCUCAAGAGAAAGAGACCCCGCUGACUUAAGGAAUUACCUUACCCCGAGAGAAACCAGAGGUUAUUUUGGAAACCAACUCGGAUAGGGCAUUCCUGUUUCAUUGGCGAUGUAUGUUGAUUGGAGCCAAGAACCCCCCGCCAGGGGCCAAAGGCUCGGGUGUAGUGUUUUGAAAAGUCCCGAGGCUUGGUUGGUUCGAACAGUGGCCUCCGUUAAGUUCCCAGCGACGCAUAUGAGCCGAGUCGAUGCACUGAUAGCCGGGUGAUGUCCGCCAGUAAGCCGGGAGGCCGAGUUAUGCAUAUUAGCUAUGCAAAACUGGUGUAAUUCAAGUGCCAGCGAAUUGAGGCUCGGGGGUUCAAAUGGCGCUUAUUUGCAAGGUGGCACAAAAUCCGCUCAGCGAGUUUUCGAGCAUUUAAAAUCGAGCAGUCGGGAGAGAGCCAACGCCAUUGGCGGUGCGCUAUCCUCUUUGGCAUCACCUUGAAGGGGACGCAUAGCAAACGCAGCAGUCGACAAUCGGCUCGGUCCCCAUAUAGAAGAAACGGAUUUCAUCCGUUCUUGUCACACGCAACUCGGACCGAGUUGAUGACCCUAUCGUGAACUAUUUCGGCCGACCAUUCUGGCCAGAUGACAGAAAAGAGUCCACAUAAGAUAGAUCAAGGCUGCACGAUUCUGGAUAUCCCCCACGGGAGACUUUGUACAAAAGAGCUUACCAAGGCCCCCUACUUGUUUGUGUACCCCGAGCCUCGUCCGAGGACGUACUUUUGGAAAUCCUGAGGGAAUGUGCCGGGUAUUACACUCUGGGGGAAGAUCGUUGGCACACAGAGCUCUUUCACAGGGGUAAUGUUGGCCUUACAAUGCGAAGGACCGCUCAAGGUAUAUGUGGCGCAAGGUGCAAUAAGUGUCAGCUCUUUUCAAUUUCACCCCUGUCCCAUCAACCUGCAGGGGAUGUCCCCGAUCACACUAGUCCUUGGCCCUUUGCCCAACGGGGAAGGAUUAUCGUAGGGUCCUCUCUAGAAGCUCCCUGGCACCACGGGUUUUUACUUGAGCGACCGGGUACUUUCACAAAUGGUAGAAGCUGAGCCGCUAUCACAAAUCAGAGAGACAAACGUUGAUAAGGUUUAUUCCGAGGUAACAUCCUUCCCAGAUUUGGCCACCCUGCGGGCCUUCGUGUCGGUACGGUACCCAAUUCGUCGAGCAAGUUAAAGGUCUGGUAGAGCAGCUGAAGAUUGAAUUUUCAACUCACGCCGAGUCUAAAAAACCCACCCGCGUGUAAAUGGACCAAGGCCGAGGCUCAAAUCAAACUAUCUUGAAAGGGAUCAAAAAACACUAGAAAAGGCCAAAGGACGAUGUUCGAUAGAUUGGCAACGUAUUAUGGGCUUAUCCGGACCCACACCACGAAGGCGACGAAUGAAACGCCAGAUCUCACUGGCGUCGGAUUCCGCAUUCGUUAAUCCCAUUGGAAGGUCGGGCUGCCACAAUCGGACAGCGCCUUAUAACACCAUCUAACAACAACGGGUCCUGGACGAGAUCUUGACUUGGCUGAAGAAAGGAAAGAAAUGCACUCAUAGAAUGGCUGACUAUCAAAAGCCGUUGCUAAAUCCUUCAACCAGAAAGUACAACGAGGGAGUUUUGAAUGGGAAGUUCUCGUUCGCAUGAAAUCGUUGGAACACUAAAGAUCCAACGGACUCCAAGCUCGCGCCGAACGGGAGGGUCCCUAACAAAAUAAUAAACUACCGGAAAGAAGUUUCUCUAUCACUAUCUGGAAGAUGCAGAAGGAAAAGAAAUCCCGCGACCUUGGAAUGCCCAGCACUCUGUCGAAAGUAUUUCCCCGAAAUUGUAAAUGCCGCACUGGCCUUCUCACAUGUUAAAAGCAUUUACAUAUCUCUCAAUUCUCUUUCAAUAAGUAUGUUUUACAACCUUUAUUCCGACAAUUUUUAGCCAGUUUUUUACAAGUUCACUUGAUCACAAUCGCUAGAAGGGGUUAGCCGAGCUUCGAAAAGCACCGAACUGCCUUCAUACGCUUUAAUCAAGUAGCACUUGGUAAAAUUCGAAGGGAAGCUAGCCGAGCUUUACAAUGCUCCGAGCUUGUCCAUUAACGUUUACAAGUUAACUUGAUCAAAUCGCGAGAAGGGGUUAGCCGAGCUUCGAAAAGCACCGAACUGCCUUCAUACGCUUUAAUCAAGUAGCACUUGGUAAAAUUCGAAGGGAAGCUAGCCGAGCUUUACAAUGCUCCGAGCUUGUCCAUUAACGUUUACAAGUUAACUUGAUCAAAUCGCGAGAAGAGUUAGCCGAGCUUCGAAAAGCACCGAACUGCCUUCAUACGCUUUAAUCAAGUAGCACUUGGUAAAAUUCGAAGGGAAGCUAGCCGAGCUUUACAAUGCUCCGAGCUUGUCCAUUAACGUUUACAAGUUAACUUGAUCAAAUCGCGAGAAGGGGUUAGCCGAGCUUCGAAAAGCACCGAACUGCCUUCAUACGCUUUAAUCAAGUAGCACUUGGUAAAAUUCGAAGGGAAGCUAGCCGAGCUUUACAAUGCUCCGAGCUUGUCCAUUAGUUUUCAGUUAACCUCGGUUAAAUAAAUCUUGAGAGGGGGUUAGUCGAGCCCAACCGGCUCCCCCGCCGGAUAUUAUCUUGUCAAUUUGCAUCCUUUAACUUGAGGGGAAGGCCAGAAUGGAAGAGACUAACUUUGCAAGAAUUCAAGCACAACAGAUGAGAAGUACAUCACAGCAUUUUUUAUUCAUAAUCUAAAGAGAGAACAUUCAGAACAAGUAUGUCGGAAUACGUACUACAACUCUAAUUACAAGGUAACGACGACUAACUCUUUAAAGAAAAGGUUGAGAGGACCACUUCAGCUUCAUCUUUCACAAUCACAUCACGACCGUUGCCAGCCGAGCCUCAUUCUGAAUAUAAUGGAACCAAGUCCGGUCAUCGAGUACUGCACUGAGCAACGGCAACGGGCCUUUCAACUGAUUCUUUUAGGUCUUGUGGACAGUUGCCUCAAAUAGGCAUGACUCCACAAGACUCGGUACUCUUCGAGUGGCGGGGGUACGGAGAGGCCAACUCACCGAACUCACACGAGCGCGGGCCGAAUACGGGAACUGAAGCUCAAAAGCUACAGAUCUGUUGAAACAGAGGUUGAUGAGACGGACGUGCUUGCAUAUCCCACCCCCGUCAAGGGAAAAUCAUCUUGCCACCUUGUGAGUUUCAGGGGAUUUUUUCAAGAACAGAAGCCCAGCCAUUUUGUAGACAAGGGCAUUUUUGUGAACGUUUGUUGGCUCUCAGAAAGAUUUUUUAAUGAUGGUGGAUUGUGUUCAUCAAAGUCGGGUGCAUCACGAUUUAAAGGCCCUCGACGGCAAAACGAAACGACGCAAUGGAGGCGAAGUUUUAGACCGAAUUUAGUGCUACGUUCAAACUGACCGGGAAACAAAAAACGGUGGCACUCAAGAGUCGUCGGUUCAAACGACGUUACUUUUCGAAAUAGGGGCAAUGAACGUGGACAUGACGUCCCAGUGAAACCAACCGGAGCCUAGUUCGAACGUUGUUUAGCAAUGGGGCGAGUCAAGACAAUUUACGCGUGGUAACGUCGAAGCUCCUUAUGAACCUGGCGAGGCGAAGCCGCACUAAGGCAAAGACGCCGAGGAAAUCGUUCUUAACAAGAGUCAAUCAUAAACCGAGAUCAAACGCACAAGAAACUGGUAAAACGGGUUACCGAAAUGCAAUAUCAAUAGCUUCCAAAAUUUUACAAGUAAGCAAUUCGAACAAAUACAAGAGUCUAAUCAGAGAAGCGUUCCUAAACGAUGUUUUCAGUUCACCCUUCAUUCACCACCCUGGCUUCUAAAGCUCGGUCGCCCUCCUGCUUCCCAACUCGGUCCCCUAUCAGCAGUCUCCGCGGCCCCUGCCUGAUCUUUCCACUUUGCAAACGAGCGUUAGUAUUCCCCUCGGCAGCGAAAGGGUCGCAUACUCCUCUUUUUGUUGAAGUCGGGCAGGUUGAUGGGCGAUAUCGCUCUGGGGAGGCAGGGAGCUGGACGGGAGGGGCAGGAUACGCCAAGCGUGAUGGACAAGUGUGAUCUAAGCUCUUUCAAACAGCAGGCCCCCCUCCUUAAAGACACCGGGUCGGAGCUCGGCUAACUGUCUUUCAUACACUUCCCCAGCCCGCUCUAAAGCGCGGUCGAACAGCUUCUUGUAGACCUCGCCACAAGCGAACGCUUUCAAUCGACGCUUCUUGCUGGGCGUGGGUUCCGUGGAAAAUCGCAUCUCGGCUGCCGAAUGCGCAUCGCAGAUCGGGCUGAGUUUUUUCAGCUCCUUUUUCGAGGUCCACGCACCUUCUGAUUCUCCUUCCUUCAGAUCACCACACCUGCUUUAAGAGCCGAGUGAGAAGAUACAGCUCGCUGAAUAACUAAGAAAGGGAAAAAUAAUGGGUAGAAACAGAACAGCAUUUAUCAGCUUGUUCAUCAAGAGAAAGCGGAAACUUGAAGUUCUAACCUGGGCCCGCCAACAUAACGAGCUGCCCCCCGAAUCUGCCGUGGUCUCACAGCAUGAUCCGGCGACGUCUCUGGGGAGCAUCACCCACCCGCAUUGCCAGCGCACACAGGUCCGUGGGGUCCUUAAAGUGUCCGCCGAGUAACUUGUUUGCCGAGCCCAGAGCGGAAAAUUGAGGGGGCCCACAGCUCGGGGUGCCAAGCGGCCGACCCACAACCUUUCCCCAGUCUUUCGGUUGAGAAGUUCCCUCUACAAUUGCGUCCCUUUCCCGUUUUGCCACCCAUCAGGAUUGGCUCGGUGGACUGAUCUUCGGCUGGGGCUGGUGUGGACCGAGAUAAUGAGCCUCGGAGUGUGGACGUAUCAGUUGUUGGGGCUUGCUUCUUCCCCAGAAUCAAAAGGAGAACCUCACCUUUAGGGGCCAUGAAUCUCGCGUUCAACAUUUCAACCUGGCCCCGCAGAUGAACUUCACUGUGAGAGUAGGAGUGCUCACAAUCUCCCUCGGUUCGACGAUGGCUACGUCAUAAUCAGAGCUCGGGAAUUUCUUAAGUUCUGGGACCAGGAAUAUGGGAGCUGGAACCAAAGGAGCCGCAGUAGGGAUUUGAUCCACUUCUCUUCUUCGCCGUCUUCGACCUUCGCCUCUUCGUUCAGGGCCCGUCGCCCAAAUCGAUGUCCCAUGCUGGAAGGCUCGAUUCGCUGGAGCUAGAACUUCGCCUUCCCAGCUUCUCUAACAGUCGUCGAAGCUCGGCUAGGUCCAUCAAUAAGUCACUGACCUCGUCAUAUAGAGAGCUCCUCGGCCUAGAAGCCUGGUCCUCGUAUCUGGGGGGCUUAAGAACGGGCUGUCCCCUGAUGAGCGCUCGGAGAGGAAUUGCGUACGUACAAGGGGAUGUAACCUAGUAAAAUCGGAGACUGUGCGGGAGCGUCCACAAUUGUUCAACAUCUUAUUGCAGCCGAACCCGGUCGCGCCUCCGCCAAAGCGUCUGUUGAAUCCUGCAAAACGAACCAGGGCAACAACAGUCAGUUACCGUUAGCAAUGUACGGAUUGACAAGUAUAUCGCAAGAUGAAACACUCCGAUUCUCACCUAUCAGGCCGUAACCCCUGUGCCUAGGAACCGAGAAGGGGUUCCCGGGUUCGUUGACAGGAAAAUCCAA
rnacentral:lncRNA from 1 species